AAGUGAUCCAAAAGAAGCCUACCCCCAUUCUACCACAUUUCUAGACAAUGAUGUUUUGUGCACUAGUUUUCUCAAUGCCAAUGGAAGGACCGAUUUAUGAGUUUUAAAAAGGCUUAGGGAUAAUGUUGCACUCUUUCAAAACUUGAUACUAAUAUGAGAUGACCGAUUUAUUCUUCACCAUCAAAAUACAUAUUUCCAAAUCCUUUUUAUAUGAAGCAGCCAAAACAAUCCAUAAACCUAUAUUAAUUAGGUAAACCAAUUAUUUAAGAACCGUGCUAACAUAUGAGAUCAAUACAUAGAGGUGCAUGUCUAGAAUAUAAACCCUAACACAGCACACACUCCG
rnacentral:misc_RNA from 1 species